UUAGCUGAAACCAAAUUAGAGGUAAAUCACUGUUAAUGAUUUAAUUGAGAAAUCCUGCUGUU
rnacentral:tRNA from 1 species